ACAGAGUUUUUAACUCACCAAAAACUAUGUGAACUUACCUACGUUGCCUCGGCGGGGAACCUACCCGGGAACUACUUUACAGUAGUCUACCCGGUACCUACCCGGUAGCUACCAUGUAGUUGUAGGCUUACCCGCCGGCGGACCAUUCAAACUCUGAUAUUAUUUUGGCACUUCUGAGGGAUUAUACUUAAUAAGUUAAAACUUUCAACAACGGAUCUCUUGGUUCUGGCAUCGAUGAAGAACGCAGCGAAAUGCGAUAAGUAAUGUGAAUUGCAGAAUUCAGUGAAUCAUCGAAUCUUUGAACGCACAUUGCGCCCAUUAGUAUUCUAGUGGGCAUGCCUGUUCGAGCGUCAUUUCAACCCUCAAGCCCUGGUUGCUUGGUGUUGGGGGAUUAUCUUGCCGAAAGGCGGACAACUCCUUAAAACUAUUGGCGGAGUCGCGGUGACCCCAAGCGUAGUAAAUCUUCUUUUCUCUCGCUUUAGGGUGUCAACGCUGGCCUUCUAGCCGUUAAAGCCUCUAAUUUAUUAGUGGUUGACCUCGAAUCAGGUAGGACUACCCGCUGAACUUAAGCAUAUCAAUAAGCGGAGGA
rnacentral:rRNA from 1 species